AUGGAGGGGGGGGGGAGGAGGGGAGAGCCCCUAUUUGAGAAAGUCUUCCAUUUCCCGGCUGACAAGCCAGCCCCCCGCCCCGCGCCCCGCGCCCCGCGCCCCGCGCCGAUCCCCGCGAGCCCGGGCUCUCCGGCGCGCGUCCUCCGUCCCGGCGCCCGCCGCUUCGGCCGCUCCGGGUGCGGCGUCUCCUUCCACCCACUAGAAUCCGUCCCCGACGGGCGGGUGGUGCCUCGGGCUCCAGUCACAGACUCGAGCUCGCAAAAUGGAGGAGGAGGAAGAGGAGGAGGAGGAGGAGGAGGAGGAGGAGGAGGAGGAGGAGGGGAGGGAGCGCGGACACGCGAAAGGGCCGCCCGGCCGCGGCGAGCGAGCGGGACCGACCGGGGGGCGGGCGGAGGCGGCGCCACGGCGCGCACACACUCGCUCACACGCGCUCCCACUCCACCCCCGGCCGCUCCCCGCCCGAGGGGCCGCGCGGCGGCGGGGAACGGUGCAACCUGUUGGCGACGCUCGGCAACUGCAGGGGCGGCCCAGCCCCCGCCCCCGCCCCACGCCCUCCGCGGGGGCCCCGCCACCCCGGCCCCGACGGCGCCCGCACGCCCCCGGCAUCGCCCGGGACUGGGCUGCCGGCCGCCGCCCCAGAGCGCGCGGGGCUUCUGCGCGCCCGCCCCGCCACCCCCCGCGAGCAGGAGAGGCAGCGGCGGCGGGGGCCGACCUGGUCUCUCCGGGGCGGGCUUGGGAGGGAAGCCGAGUUUCUCUAGUUUGUCUUCUCGCUGCCUCGUUCCCGCCCCCGCCCAGCUCCGCGACUCCCGACCCACUCCGGAGCCGGCCCGGUCCUUGGGCGGCCACGGCCGGCGGCGCCCCUGCGGUGACAGCGCGCCGCCCGGGGUGCGGGGCGGGGUGCGGGGCGGGGGCGGGGGCCGGGGGCCGGGGCGCGGCCCGCAGCCGCAGCAGCGCCGCGAGGGGGUCCGCGCCGCCGCCCCGGGCCCGAGUUGCACGAAGUGUCACUUAGCGCGGGGCUACUGGGGUUGCACGGAAACGGUGCCGCAGCGUGUCGGCCGCUUGCGGGGCCGGCCCGCCAGACACGCCCUCUGGGGGGCAGCGAAGGGGGUCGGCGCACACAGACUCUAG
rnacentral:lncRNA from 1 species